rnacentral:rRNA from 1 species
GUACACGCUGUGACUAGCAUAUCAAUAAGCGGAGGAAAAGGUACCUACGCUUAGGAUGUUGACACACGCGCGUGCUCGGCUCUAUACAUGACUCUGUGCAUAUCAAUAAGCGGAGGAAAAGCGCAUUAAAGGUCCAGAUACCUACGCUUAGGAUGUUGACACACGCGCGUGCUCGACUCUAUACAUGACUCUGUGCAUAUCAAUAAGCGGAGGAAAAGAAACUAACAAGGAUUCCCUUAGUAACGGCGAGUGAAGCGGGAAGAGCUCAAAUUUGAAAUCUUCAAGGUUUUACCUUGACGAAUUGUAGUUUAAAGAAGUGUUUUCUGUUGAAGUUUUGGUAAAAGUUCUUUGGAAUAGGACAUCAUAGAGGGUGAGAAUCCCGUAUUUGACCAUUAUUUUCAGCUGUGUGAUACACUUUCAAAGAGUCGGAUUGUUUGGGAAUGCAGUCCAAAAUGGGUGGUAAAUUUCAUCUAAAGCUAAAUAUUGGCGAGAGACCGAUAGCGAACAAGUACCGUGAGGGAAAGAUGAAAAGAACUUUGAAAAGAGAGUUAAACAGUACGUGAAAUUGUCAAAAGGGAAGCGUUUGACACCAGUGUUGUUUUUCCGAAAAUCAAUUAUAAAUGUUUUGUUUCUGAGGAGUGAUGACUUCAUCGGCUUCCUUCUCUCUUCACGAAACUUUUGUAAUGCACUUUUCGGUUAACAAGUCAACAUCAAUUUCUUUUGUUGUAAAAGAGUAUUCGGAAGGUGGCUUUCUUUUCGGAGAAAGUGUUUAUAGCCCUAUACUUCUACAAUCGGAGAGAUUGAGGUCUGCAGCGUAGAUCCUUCGGGGUUAGAUACACUUGUGCUAAGUUAUAGCUUUUCAUAGACAACUUGUUGACUAUGUUUAGUCUUGUAGCUUACUCGCUUGUGCUAUUUUACCUACGCUUAGGAUGUUGACACACGCGCGUGCUCG